UACGGAGGGUGCAAGCGUUGAUCGGAAUUACUGGGCGUAAAGCGCACGCAGGCGGUCUGUCAAGUCGGAUGUGAAAUCCCCGGGCUCGACCUGGGAACUGCAUCCGAAACUGGCAGGCUUGAGUCUCGUAGAGGGGGGUAGAAUUCCAGGUGUAGCGGUGAAAUGCGUAGAGAUCUGGAGGAAUACCGGUGGCGAAGGCGGCCCCCCGGACGAAGACUGACGCUCAGGUGCGAAAGCGUGGGGGGCAAACAGG
rnacentral:rRNA from 1 species